UGUUGAAGAUUAAGCCAUGCAUGUGUAAGUAUAAAGACAUAGUAGGAUGAAACUGCGGACGGCUCAUUACAACAGUUAUAGUUUCUUUGGUUAGUAGGAAAAGGAUAACUCUGUUAAUUGUAGAGCUAAUACUUGAGACACUCCACAUCUCUUCUGGGAUGUGGCGGCCAGGCUUCGGCUUGGCUAUGAAUUAUUCCAUUCUGAAUGCUGGAAUAAGGACAAUUGUAGAAUCCAGGGGAUUUUAACUAACAAGUAACCAAUGAGAAUUUCGGACUUAUCAACCUGUAGGUAAGGUAGUGGCUUACCUUGGUGAUCACGAGUAACGAGAAAUAAGGGUUUGACAUCGGAGAGGGAGCCUUAAAAAUGGCUACCACUUCCAAGGAAGGCAGCAAGCGCGAAAAUUACCCACUUGGGACACCCAGAGGUAGUGAAGACAAAUAACUAAAUGCUGUCCACUGGAUAGCGUUUAAGGGAUGAGCUAGACGUUAACACUCUAGCGAAAGCGAUUGGAGGGCAAGUCUGGUGCCAGCAGCCGCGGUAAUUCCAGCUCCAAUAGUGUAUAUUAAAGUUGUUGUGAUUAAAAAGCUCGUAGUUGAAUUCGACAGGACUUUGUUUCAGCCGCUACUUGUAGCGAGUUGAGAACAAGUACAGCCCUAAACACCUUCACACUGUCUCUUCGGAGAUGGUGUGGAGAUAUUUACUUUGAAUAAAUAUGAAUGUUUAAAGCAAAGCAAAAGCUAAUAGAAUAUGAAGCAUGGGAUAAUAGAGAGGAGAUGCAGCGACAAACAGUCGAUGUGCGGAGUUGCAUUUCUAGAUAAGGAUUAAUAGAAAGAGAUGGGGUGAUUUAUACGGAAAUGGGAGAGGUGAAAAUCCAUGAUCAUUUUAGGAUAAACUGAAGCGAAAGCAUUUCACUUAAAUCUGUUCAUUAAUCAAGAACGAAAGUUAGGGGAUCGAAGACGAUUAGAUACCGUCGUAGUCCUAACUAUAAACGAUGUCAACGAAGGAUUGGAUUGAACCUUUACCACUCAACCUAGUUGAGAGGUAGUAUACUUCAGUUCAGGACUUGAGGGGAAACCUUUAGUUAAUGGACUUCAGGGGGAGUAUGCUCGCAAGGGUGAAACUUAAAGGAAUUGACGGAAGGGCACACCAGGAGUGGAGCCUGCGGCUUAAUUUGACUCAACACGGGAAAACUUACCAAGACCAGACAUUAAGAGGAGUGACAGAGUAAGGGAACUUUCAUGAUUUGAUGGAGAGUGGUGCAUGGCCGUUCUUAGUUGGUGGAGUGAUUUGUCAGGUUUAUUCCGAUAACGAACGAGACUUCAAUCUUUAAUUAGAUCACGCCGCACCUGUGGCGCGAGUCAGAAAUGACCCUCAGUGAGGUCUUCUUAAAGGGACUCUUGGCAAUUUUCCGGACUGCGGACCUACCCACGGGAGGAUCGGCAGCCAGAAGAAGCUAAGGGAAGAGAAGCAAUAACAGGUCUGUGAUGCCCUUAGACAUCUUGGGCUGCACGCGUGCUACAAUAUCUAUUUUCAAGAGUACAUGAACAGUCGAUAGGAGGCAAUUGGCUCUCGCGAGCUGAUUGCCUCAACUAAGGCUGAGAACCUUUUCCGAAAGGAGUGGGAAAACUCGUAAGAUAGAUGUAACAGGGAUUAAUGAUUGGAAUUAUUUGUUAUGGAACGAGGAAUUCCUUGUAAAAUUUUGUCACUAACGAAAGUUGAAUACGUCCCUGCCCUUUGUACACACCGCCCGUCGCUCCUACCGAUUGAAUAAAAAGAUGAAGGUUUAGGAGGAAUCAUCGUUGAUGAGCCGAAUGGAUCUGAAUCUCUUUAUUUAGAGG
rnacentral:rRNA from 1 species